GAGUUUGAUCGUGGCUCAGAUUGAACGCUGGCGGCAGGCCUAACACAUGCAAGUCGAGCGGUAGAGAGAAGCUUGCUUCUCUUGAGAGCGGCGGACGGGUGAGUAAUGCCUAGGAAUCUGCCUGGUAGUGGGGGAUAACGCUCGGAAACGGACGCUAAUACCGCAUACGUCCUACGGGAGAAAGCAGGGGACCUUCGGGCCUUGCGCUAUCAGAUGAGCCUAGGUCGGAUUAGCUAGUUGGUGAGGUAAUGGCUCACCAAGGCGACGAUCCGUAACUGGUCUGAGAGGAUGAUCAGUCACACUGGAACUGAGACACGGUCCAGACUCCUACGGGAGGCAGCAGUGGGGAAUAUUGGACAAUGGGCGAAAGCCUGAUCCAGCCAUGCCGCGUGUGUGAAGAAGGUCUUCGGAUUGUAAAGCACUUUAAGUUGGGAGGAAGGGCAGUAAAUUAAUACUUUAGUCUGUUUUGACGUUACCGACAGAAUAAGCACCGG
rnacentral:rRNA from 1 species